rnacentral:rRNA from 1 species
CCUACGGGCGGCAGCAGUGAGGAAUAUUUGUCAAUGGCCGCAAGCCUGAACCAGCCAAGUCGCGUGAAGGAUGACUGCCCUACGGGUUGUAAACUUCUUUUAUCAGGGACUAAAGUGGUCCCCGUGUGCCUUUUUGUAUGUACUUUAUGAAAAAGAAUCGGCUAACUCCGUGCCAGCAGCCGCGGUAAUCCGGAGGAUCCGAGCGUUAUCCGGAUUUCUUGGGUUUAAAGGUGGCGUAGAUGGGAUGUGAAGUAAGGUGUGAAAGUUUCCGGAUAAACCGUAAAAGUGCAAUUGAUACUGGCAGUCUUGAGUACAGUUGAGGUAGGCGGAAUUCGUGGUGUAGCGGUGAAAUGCUUAGAUAUCACGAAGAACUCCGAUUGCGAAGGCAGCUUACGAAACUGCGACUGACACUGAUGCUCGAAAGUGUGGGUAUCAAACAGGAUUAGAUACCCGAGUAGUC